GAAAAAGGCAAUCUGGGGAGCCACUUCCCACACUCAUGAAAAGGAUUGGUGUAGCUGCUUAGAGUCAUCCAACCUUGAGCAUGCUAAGGGCCAGUCAUACUGGCAAGUGGCAAGCCUUGUGAUGCUGCGGGGACACAAAGAGUGACGACUGUGGUCAUGAUAAAGCUCUCUGGAAGACAUGAUUAUCCUGUUAUAUUCUAGGAAAACUCCAAAGGAAAACGCCAUGGCAGACUAAGUGCAGCCAAGAGACUCACAUGCGGGACCACCCCAGGCUUUGAGAAGAAAGCAUGGGCCCUA